rnacentral:rRNA from 1 species
GUGUCAGCCGCCGCGGUAAUACGUAGGGUGCGAGCGUUAAUCGGAAUUACUGGGCGUAAAGCGUGCGUAGGCGGUUCGUUGUGUCUGUGGUGAAAGCCCCGGGCUUAACCUGCGAAUUGCCAUGGAAACUGGCGAGCUUGAGUGUGGCAGAGGGGGGUGGAAUUCCGCGUGUAGCAGUGAAAUGCGUAGAUAUCGGGAGGAACACCAGUGGCGAAGGCGGUUGCCUGGGGCUUUGCUGACGCUGAUGCGCGAAAUCGUGGGGAGCGAUCCGGAUUAGAUACCCCUGUAGUCC